rnacentral:rRNA from 1 species
UACGAAGGGGGGCUAGCGUUGCUCGGAAUCACUGGGCGUAAAGGGUGCGUAGGCGGGUCUUUUAAGUCAGGGGUGAAAUCCUGGAGCUCAACUCCAGAACUGCCUUUGAUACUGAGGAUCUUGAGUACGGGAGAGGUGAGUGGAACUGCGAGUGUAGAGGUGAAAUUCGUAGAUAUUCGCAAGAACACCAGUGGCGAAGGCGGCUCACUGGCCCGAUACUGACGCUGAGGCACGAAAGCGUGGGGAGCAAACAGG